CCCGCGCGGUGCUAACUGCAGUCGACGAAUCCUUCGGGAUUAGUGGCGGACGGGUGAGUAACGCGUGAGAAUCUGCCUUCAGGAUGGGGACAACAGUUGGAAACGACUGCUAAUACCCAAUAUGCCGCAAGGUGAAACUAUUUGGCCUGAAGAGGAGCUCGCGUCCGAUUAGCUAGUUGGGGUGGUAAAAGCGCACCAAGGCAACGAUCGGUAGCUGGUCUGAGAGGAUGAGCAGCCACACUGGGACUGAGACACGGCCCAGACUCCUACGGGAGGCAGCAGUGGGGAAUUUUCCGCAAUGGGCGAAAGCCUGACGGAGCGAUACCGCGUGAGGGAGGAAGGCUUUUGGGUUGUAAACCUCUUUUCUCAAGGAAGAGUAAAUGACGGUACUUGAGGAAUAAGCAUCGGCUAACUCCGUGCCAGCAGCCGCGGUAAUACGGAGGAUGCAAGCGUUAUCCGGAAUUAUUGGACGUAAAGCGUCCGCAGGUGGUUCAUCAAGUCUGCUGUUAAAGACCAGGGCUUAACCCCGGGAAGGCGGUGGAAACUGGUGGACUAGAGUACGGUAGGGGUAGAGGGAAUUCCCAGUGUAGCGGUGAAAUGCGUAGAGAUUGGGAAGAACACCAGUGGCGAAGGCGCUCUACUGGACCUGUACUGACACUCAGGGACGAAAGCUAGGGUAGCGAAAGGGAUUAGAUACCCCUGUAGUCCUAGCCGUAAACGAUGGAUACUAGGCGUUGCUUGUAUCGACCCGAGCAGUGCCGUAGCUAACGCGUUAAGUAUCCCGCCUGGGGAGUACGCACGCAAGUGUGAAACUCAAAGGAAUUGACGGGGGCCCGCACAAGCGGUGGAGUA
rnacentral:rRNA from 1 species